CUCAGAGGAAAGUAACAGAAAGAUCUUUCUCAAGAGGUGAUUAAGACUUUAGUGAUAGGAAAAUGGCUUUGUCCUUCUCAUUUCUUUUCUGGAUUUUUCUAAGAACCAUCUGCUGUCAGCCUCAGUGCAUCCAAGAACCCCUUGAUGAUGCAGAGUUUUACAUUAAUG